rnacentral:rRNA from 1 species
CGCCGCGUGUGCGAUGAAGGCCUUCGGGUCGUAAAGCACUUUUCGAGGGGAUGAGGAAGGACAGUACCCUCGGAAUAAGUCUCGGCUAACUACGUGC